UGAAUUGCAGAAUUCAGUGAAUCAUCGAAUCUUUGAACGCAC
rnacentral:rRNA from 1 species